rnacentral:rRNA from 1 species
GACGAACGCUGGCGGCGUGCUUAACACAUGCAAGUCGAACGGAAAGGCCCUGCUUUUGUGGGGUGCUCGAGUGGCGAACGGGUGAGUAACACGUGAGUAACCUGCCCUUGACUUUGGGAUAACUUCAGGAAACUGGGGCUAAUACCGGAUAGGAGCUCCUGCUGCAUGGUGGGGGUUGGAAAGUUUCGGCGGUUGGGGAUGGACUCGCGGCUUAUCAGCUUGUUGGUGGGGUAGUGGCUUACCAAGGCUUUGACGGGUAGCCGGCCUGAAAGGGUGACCGGCCACAUUGGGAAUGAGAUACGGCCCAGACUCCUACGGGAGGCAGCAGUGGGGAAUAUUGCAAAAUGGGCGGAAGCCUGAUGCAGCAACGCCGCGUGCGGGAUGACGGCCUUCGGGUUGUAAACCGCUUUCGCCUGUGACGAAGCGUGAGUGACGGUAAUGGGUAAAGAAGCACCGGCUAACUACGUG